rnacentral:rRNA from 1 species
UACGUAGGGGGCGAGCGUUGUCCGGAAUGAGUGGGCGUAAAGCGCGCGCAGGCGGUAAUUUAAGUCUGAUGUAAAAGCCCUCGGUUUAACCGCUGAAGGUCAUUGGAAACUGGGGGACUUGAGGCUAGGAGAGGGAAGUGGAAUUCCUGGUGUAGCGGUGAAAUGCGUAGAGAUCAGGAGGAAUACCGAUGGCGAAAGCAACUUCCUGGCUUAUAACUGACGCUGAGGCGCGAAAGCGUGGGGAGCAAACAGG